rnacentral:misc_RNA from 1 species
GAUGAAGAACGUAGCGAAAUGCGAUAAGUAAUGUGAAUUGCAGAAUUCAGUGAAUCAUCGAAUCUUUGAACGCACAUUGCGCCCGCCAGUAUUCUGGCGGACAUGCCUGUCCGAGCGUCAUUUCAACCCUCGGGACCCUUCGGGGAACCGGUGUUGGGGACCCGUCCGCCGACCCACGGCGGCCGGCCCCGAAAUACAGUGGCGGCCCUGCGGCGACCUCCUCUGCGUAGUAGCGAUACCUCGCAGCUGGAAAGCGGCAGCGGCCACGCCGUAAAACCCCCACUUCUAUGGUUGACCUCGGAUCAGGUAGGAAUACCCGCUGAACUUAAGCAUAUCAAUAAGCGGAGGA